rnacentral:lncRNA from 1 species
AAACACUAAGAACACUAACAACCAUCCCCAUUUUCAUUAUCGAUCAUCUUCAGCCACUUUCGAGUUCUGUUGACAUGAACAAUCGCAAGAACAACAGCAUAUUCAAAUAAUUACGACAAAUAGUCGAACAACAAACAAUAACUUUGAUAAGAAUGGACAUUGGGCCUAACUCAAUUCCAAAAUCUAGCUUGUGAUGUGAGGAUUGCCCAAUCCAUAUAAGAAGACUAAGGACCUCAUAUCCCUCCGAUUUGGGACAACUCAACACCCCCCUCAUGCCCAGGCCUCUGGAUCGUGGACAACAUAAAUGGGGGCCAAACAUCGGAUACAAUAAUUAGGAUGGACCUGACUCUAAUACCAAAUAAGAAUGGACCUUGGGCCUAACUCAAGGUGAGAAUUACCCAAGCUAUAUAAGUAGACCAAGGACCUCAUCAUAACUUAACAAACUUAAUGCUCCAUUAUCUACCUCGUUCCCUUUCUUGAUAAAAGGCCUCGACUCUCCUCAACAAACCCAAGUAAUUUUAUUUGCUCGGUCAGGAAAUGCCUCCUCAAACCAUAUGAAGUAGUUAUAUCCCCCUUUGUCCUUUAAAAUAUAUCCAACUAAAUCAACUUUAAAAACUGCAAAUUCGUACCAAUAUUAAGAUCAAAGAAACAAAAAAGAUUAUCGAAAUAUAUACUUACUAAACCAUUUUUGCAUACAAAUUACCUUCUGCCUGGGUUUGCCGAAUUCCAUGAAAUUUUCGAAACACUCAUGCUCAACUCCGCACGUUCCAAACAUUUUCAAGCAACAAAUGAAGAGAGAGAAGAUGUGAAGAAAGCUUUACUGAAAUUGGAGAAGGAGGGCGAGGGUCUUUCAAAUUGGAGAAUUUUUUUUUAAUU